rnacentral:rRNA from 1 species
AGCAGCCGCGGUAAUUCCAGCUCCAAUAGCGUAUAUUAAAGUUGUUGCAGUUAAAAAGCUCGUAGUUGAAUUUCGGGGUUAGCAAGUUGGUCGUGCCCUUGGUAUGCACUGGCUUUGCUGAUUCCUCCUUCUUGAAGAACUGUGAUGCUAUUAAUUUGGUGUUGCAGGGAAACAGGACUGUUACUUUGAAAAAUUGAGUGUUUAAAGCAGGCUAACGCUUGAAUACAUUAGCAUGGAAUAAUGAAAUAGGACGUUUGAUCCUAUUUUGUUGGUUUCUAGGAUUGACGUAAUGAUUAAUAGGGAUAGUUGGGGGCAUUAGUAUUCAAUUGUCAGAGGUGAAAUUCUUGGAUUUAUUGAAGACUAACUACUGCAAAAGCAUUUGCCAAGGAUGUUUUCAUUAAUCAAGAACGAAAGUUAGGGGAUCGAAGACGAUCAGAUACCGUCGUAGUCUUAACCAUAAACUAUGCCGACUAGGGAUCGGAUGAU